rnacentral:tRNA from 1 species
GGAUAAGUGGUCGAGUGGUUUAAGGCGUUAGUUUUGAAAACUAUUGAAUUUAAAACAAAAAUUCCGAGGGUUCGAAUCCCUCCUUAUCCU